CAAAACCUCGGAUAUGAAGGUUACGUUUGUGUUUUCCCAAGCGUAGUAGGACGCUAAUGCUAAGUCACACCCUUUCUUGCAUUUUGAUUCUAUUACGGUAAUGGAAAGCGAGACGAAGAACAAACAUUGAAAAGGCAAGCUAAAUCUUAGUAGAGUCAUCUUUUCUUCUCUGUUAGUGGUGAAGUAACCUUGGUUCUUUGAUCUUCGUUUAAAAGUUUAAACGAAUUUCUGUGCUUUGGUUUGUGAUAAGCGUUUACUUCCACCAAGUUUCUUAUCAUUGAUUGGUUUCUGUUCCAGCUCUUCCACAUUGAGGAAAGUCGUGUAGGGUCCGCUCUAGCCCCAAACAGACGCCCAAAUUUGAGAAAUGGAAGUCAGAAAGUGCAACUCAGUCGACUAAUAACUGGACUGAUGAUGAAGUCUUCUGGAUGGAAGAGGUAAGACCAGUAUUUGAAAGAGACCCUGGAAACCGGCGAGAAGUUUCCGAGUAGAGAUAAAACUGGAACGACGGGUUUCAUCUGGUUAUAUGUAUGAUAGCCUUAUGAAUCUCAUAUUCUGUAGAUUCUGAAUUUCUGCUUUUGGCAAUGGGUUGGAUUUUUAAUUAACAAAGCUCAAAAUAGGUGUUGAAGAGUUUCUGAAGCUGAAGACUUCACUAGAAUCUAGAAUAAGAAUCUUCCUUGACAAUUGGCAUAGUUCAGCUGAGUUUAUCAAAAGUCUUUAAGCUCCGAAACUUGGUUAGGGUUCUAAAAUGAUUUUAGAUUGUAUCUAGUAUAAUAAUUUCCUGGGGCAUGCUGCUUUAGCGUCAUUGAUUGUAUUACUUCUCUUGUGAACAAAAGCAAGUUCAACUACAUAAAGGGAAAUAGAAG
rnacentral:lncRNA from 1 species